rnacentral:rRNA from 1 species
GGUUAAGUGACUAAGCGUACACGGUGGAUGCCUAGGCAGUCAGAGGCGAUGAAGGACGUGCUAAUCUGCGAUAAGCGUCGGUGAGCUGAUAUGAAGCAUUAUUAGCCGGCGAUGUCCGAAUGGGGAAACCCAGUGCAAUCCGUUGCACUAUCGUUAAGUGAAUCCAUAGCUUAACGAGGCGAACCAGGGGAACUGAAACAUCUAAGUACCCUGAGGAAAAGAAAUCAACCGAGAUUCCCCCAGUAGCGGCGAGCGAACGGGGAAGAGCCCAGAACCUGAAUCAGUUUGUGCAUUAGUGGAAGCGUCUGGAAAGUCGCGCGAUACAGGGUGAUAGCCCCGUACACGAAGGUGCACAGCUGUGAGUUCGAUGAGUAGGGCGGGACACGUGUUAUCCUGUCUGAAUAUGGGGGGACCAUCCUCCAAGGCUAAAUACUCCUGACUGACCGAUAGUGAACCAGUACCGUGAGGGAAAGGCGAAAAGAACCCCGGCGAGGGGAGUGAAAUAGAACCUGAAACCGUGUACGUACAAGCAGUGGGAGCACCCUUUUGGGUGUGACUGCGUACCUUUUGUAUAAUGGGUCAGCGACUUAUAUUUUGUAGCAAGGUUAACCGAAUAGGGGAGCCGUAGGGAAACCGAGUCUUAACUGGGCGUCUAGUUGCAAGGUAUAGACCCGAAACCCGGUGAUCUAGCCAUGGGCAGGUUGAAGGUUGGGUAACACUAACUGGAGGACCGAACCGACUAAUGUUGAAAAAUUAGCGGAUGACUUGUGGCUGGGGGUGAAAGGCCAAUCAAACCGGGAGAUAGCUGGUUCUCCCCGAAAGCUAUUUAGGUAGCGCCUCGUGAACUCAUCUUCGGGGGUAGAGCACUGUUUCGGCUAGGGGGUCAUCCCGACUUACCAACCCGAUGCAAACUACGAAUACCGAAGAAUGUUAUCACGGGAGACACACGGCGGGUGCUAACGUCCGUCGUGAAGAGGGAAACAACCCAGACCGCCAGCUAAGGUCCCAAAGUCAUGGUUAAGUGGGAAACGAUGUGGGAAGGCACAGACAGCCAGGAUGUUGGCUUAGAAGCAGCCAUCAUUUAAAGAAAGCGUAAUAGCUCACUGGUCGAGUCGGCCUGCGCGGAAGAUGUAACGGGGCUAAACCAUGCACCGAAGCUGCGGCAGCGACGCUUAGGCGUUGUUGGGUAGGGGAGCGUUCUGUAAGCCGUUGAAGGUGGCCUGUGAGGGCUGCUGGAGGUAUCAGAAGUGCGAAUGCUGACAUAAGUAACGAUAAAGCGGGUGAAAAGCCCGCUCGCCGGAAGACCAAGGGUUCCUGUCCAACGUUAAUCGGGGCAGGGUAAGUCGACCCCUAAGGCGAGGCCGAAAGGCGUAGUCGAUGGGAAACAGGUUAAUAUUCCUGUACUUGGUGUUAUUGCGAAGGGGGGACGGAGAAGGCUAGACCGGCCGGGCGACGGUUGUCCCGGUUUAAGCGUGUAGGUGUGAUGACCUGGCAAAUCCGGUUAUCUUUAACACUGAGGCGUGAUGACGAGGCACUACGGUGCUGAAGUGGUUAAUGCCCUGCUUCCAGGAAAAGCCUCUAAGCUCCAGAUAACACUGAAUCGUACCCCAAACCGACACAGGUGGUCAGGUAGAGAAUACCAAGGCGCUUGAGAGAACUCGGGUGAAGGAACUAGGCAAAAUGGUGCCGUAACUUCGGGAGAAGGCACGCUGGCAUGUAGGUGAAGUCCCUCGCGGAUGGAGCCGAAGCCAGUCGAAGAUACCAGCUGGCUGCAACUGUUUAAUAAAAACACAGCACUCUGCAAACACGAAAGUGGACGUAUAGGGUGUGACGCCUGCCCGGUGCUGGAAGGUUAAUUGAUGGGGUCAGCCGCAAGGCGAAGCUCUUGAUCGAAGCCCCAGUAAACGGCGGCCGUAACUAUAACGGUCCUAAGGUAGCGAAAUUCCUUGUCGGGUAAGUUCCGACCUGCACGAAUGGCGUAAUGAUGGCCAGGCUGUCUCCACCCGAGACUCAGUGAAAUUGAACUCGCUGUGAAGAUGCAGUGUACCCGCGGCAAGACGGAAAGACCCCGUGAACCUUUACUAUAGCUUGACACUGAACAUUGAACCUUGAUGUGUAGGAUAGGUGGGAGGCUUUGAAGUGUGGACGCCAGUCUGCAUGGAGCCGACCUUGAAAUACCACCCUUUAAUGUUUGAUGUUCUAACCUGGUCCCGUGAUCCGGGAUAGGGACAGUGUCUGGUGGGUAGUUUGACUGGGGCGGUCUCCUCCCAAAGAGUAACGGAGGAGCACGAAGGUUAGCUAAUCCUGGUCGGACAUCAGGAGGUUAGUGCAAAGGCAUAAGCUAGCUUGACUGCGAGAGUGACGGCUCGAGCAGGUGCGAAAGCAGGUCUUAGUGAUCCGGUGGUUCUGAAUGGAAGGGCCAUCGCUCAACGGAUAAAAGGUACUCCGGGGAUAACAGGCUGAUACCGCCCAAGAGUUCAUAUCGACGGCGGUGUUUGGCACCUCGAUGUCGGCUCAUCACAUCCUGGGGCUGAAGUAGGUCCCAAGGGUAUGGCUGUUCGCCAUUUAAAGUGGUACGCGAGCUGGGUUUAGAACGUCGUGAGACAGUUCGGUCCCUAUCUGCCGUGGGCGUUGGAAGAUUGAGAGGGGCUGCUCCUAGUACGAGAGGACCGGAGUGGACGCACCGCUGGUGUUCGGGUUGUGAUGCCAAUUGCAUUGCCCGGUAGCUACGUGCGGAAAAGAUAAGCGCUGAAAGCAUCUAAGCGCGAAACUUGCCUCGAGAUGAGUCUUCCCUUGGACCUUGAGUCCACUGAAGGAACGUUUAAGACUAAGACGUUGAUAGGCUGGGUGUGUAAGCGUAGCGAUACGUUGAGCUAACCAGUACUAAUGAUCCGAGAGGCUUAACCUU